GAAGACUGAGUGAUUGAGCAAUUGGGAUUGGAAGGAGUAGCGAGGGGUUUGGAAGAGGAAGCUAAAACAUAGACCGACUGCCUGAUAGGAAGGAAGAAGACAAAGCCUCUCAACAGUUCUCUAGGUCCCAUCUCCCAAGAGAGAACAAUUUCCUUCUUGAAUAAUCUUUUAACACCUUUUGAGUUGACAUAGGUUUUUCUCGCUCACGAAUUUUACCUUUGCCUCUUCCUAUCUCAUUCGUAUUUCCUUUUUUCCUCACCGUGUCAUUGUUCCUCUACGAAGGGUUUCACACUUCUUGCUUUGGUUUGCUUUAACUUCUUGCUUUCCAACUAUAGGUACAUUUUCUUGGCCUUUUCAUCUACGCCUUCUAAUUCACCUAUUGUUGAUAAAUCUAUUCUUUCCUAUCAAAAUGUUGUUCCUGUUGAUAAUAAGUUUUCCUCUAGUCAAACUAUAUAUAACCAUUUAUCGAAGGGAGUUCCCUUAAACCCACCUUCGUCUGCCAUUAUUAUAAGGGAACCUAUUGGGAGAAGGUUAAAGCAAAAAAUGGUUCAUAGUGAGGCCUCUAGGAAACACAAUGUAGGUUUUCCCCAUCUCAAACUGCAACUAUCUCCCGGUUUUUGGUGAAGUGCAUGCAUAACAUUCUGAUUUUACUUCCAUUCACCUUGUUGAAGAAUUAGUUAAUGUUUAUGAUUUUUGCACUAAUAAAAGGAAAAAAUAUGUUAAGGUGGAGGCAUGUGAUUUAGAGGAUAGGGUUUAUAUAAGUCAUUCAUGUAACAAUCCAAGCUUUACUUAUGUGUACGAGUAUUUUUCAAGGAACUGGGUGUCGCAUUCCCUUUAACCCCUUUUGAAUGUGGGAUGUUGACCAUCAUGAACAUUGGAUUGAGCUAACUUCACCCUAAUAACUGGACUUUUUUUAAUUCUUUCCAACUUUUGUGCGAAUACCUUCAUAUCCGUCCUAUUGUAAAUAAGUUUAUGUAUUUUUAUCAUUUGAAGCACGACCUUGAAAUCGGUUGGGAUGUAGAAAAAUUCAUGUUGAAAUCUGAAUAAGUAGAAAGAAAAUGAGGAGAAAUGUGAAGUCAAAAGAAAAUGGUGAUUAGAUAAUAUAUAUGUACUAUAAUUGGAUUGUAGGUAUGUUCUUCUUCUUUAAAAUGUGCAUUUUGUUAUAUGAAAAAACCAAUACCUUUUGAAAGGCCAACCUCAUUAUAACCCUGUUAAAGACCUUAAAAUUCAUGUUUCUAAUAUGUUUGCGAUAUGAAGAUGAAAUGAAAAGAAAAUGUGAUUUGUUAUAAUUAAGUAAAAAUAGAGAGAACACUUACCAGUGAGCAUAUGAGAAGAAAUUCCUUGAUAAAUUGUCAUUUUAUUGUUUUAGUUUGAUCCUAGAAGUUGAUUGUAUCUAUAUUUUGUUAUAUUUGAAUUUGGAAGCAACAUAAGUUUCUAAUAUAAUAUAUUAUUUAGUGAAUAAAGUUAAUUUGAUAUUUAAAUUCAAAUAUGAUUUAGUAAUAUUCAUUUACUUUGCUUGAGGUGAAGCAAGAUUCUAAGUUGGGGGAGUUGAUAAGUGUCAUAUUUCAGUAAUAUUUCAUAUUAAAAUACAGUUGAUAGUUGAUAAAAUAACUGUAAUAUAAUCCGUAAUGUAUGAAUUUAAACAUUUUUACAUAUUUUGUGAUUAUAAUAUGAAUAAGAAUUAUUUAUUCUCAAGUUUGUGUUAAUUUCAGGAUUCUAGGAAAAAAUGUAGAUAAAAGGCCAAAAGAAGAAUAUACAAAAAUAAAAAGGGAAAGCUAGAAUACUCCAACACUCGCUCAAGCUCACCUAAGCCAGAAGCUUCCAAAGGAUCUCGCCCAAACGAGCACAGUCACGCUCAGAUGAGAUGAUUCUCGAGACGUUGGGUCUGUUUUCGUACAACUCACCCAGGCGAGCCCAAUCACGUCCAGACGAUACGUCACUUAGCCCAAGCCCAACUAGGUUAAAUAUGAGGCGUGAGGCACAAUCCUAGAAUUCACUAGAAGAAUAGAAGGUGUUAGAAAACCCUAGAGGAGGUAGUCGUCAAGGAGAAACAUCCUGAAUCUUCUUUUCUUGCUUUCCAUGCUUGUAAUGGCCCACAUGAGUAGCUAAUUCUAUCCUUUGGGAUUAUGAGUAAUUUGUUCAAACUCUUAUGUAUUGAGGUGGUAUUUAAAUAUAAUAUUUUGUUCUUGAUUGAUGAAUAUUGUCAUUUUAUUAAUAAAGCUUGUUUACCAUGAUUUUGAUCCUUA
rnacentral:lncRNA from 1 species